CUGCUCAGGAUGAACGCUGGCGGCGUGCUUAACACAUGCAAGUCGAACGGGAUCCAUCAAGCUUGCUUGAUGGUGAGAGUGGCGAACGGGUGAGUAAUACGUGACUAACCUGCCUCAUACACCGGAAUAGCUCCUGGAAACGGGUGGUAAUGCCGGAUGCUCCAACAUUUCACAUGUUUUGUUGGGAAAGCGUUAGCGGUAUGAGAUGGGGUCGCGUCCUAUCAGCUUGUUGGUGAGGUAAUGGCUCACCAAGGCUUCGACGGGUAGCCGGCCUGAGAGGGCGACCGGCCACAUUGGGACUGAGAUACGGCCCAGACUCCUACGGGAGGCAGCAGUGGGGAAUAUUGCACAAUGGGCGAAAGCCUGAUGCAGCGACGCCGCGUGCGGGAUGAAGGCCUUCGGGUUGUAAACCGCUUUUAAUUGGGAGCAAGCGAGAGUGAGUGUACCUUUUGAAUAAGCACCGGCUAACUACGUGCCAGCAGCCGCGGUAAUACGUAGGGUGCAAGCGUUAUCCGGAAUUAUUGGGCGUAAAGAGCUCGUAGGCGGUUUGUCACGCCUGGUGUGAAAGUCCAUCGCUUAACGGUGGAUCUGCGCCGGGUACGGGCAGGCUAGAGUGCAGUAGGGGAGAUUGGAAUUCCCGGUGUAACGGUGGAAUGUGUAGAUAUCGGGAAGAACACCAAUGGCGAAGGCAGAUCUCUGGGCUGUUACUGACGCUGAGAG
rnacentral:rRNA from 1 species